rnacentral:lncRNA from 1 species
CUGCUCUGUCAUCACAUAUCCUAUGUUGUUAUGUCAGGAGGAACCAGACUCCAUCCCCCACGCUUGAAAUAAUAGACCCUGACCUUUUAAGUUAUCGAGUUCGGAAACGAGGAAUCAAGCAUGGAAAUGAAUGGAGUUUCCUCGGAGGAUCAACAGUAAUGCGUCAGCCUAACCUCCAAAAUAUUUCACAAGGAAGAAGCUGCAGGGUGUCUGCUAUGUGUAAUCUUUUCUUCCCACUGCUUUGUUAGUAUUUAUCAUUUAUCCUUGGUACUCAAUUCAUGUUUUGCUACCUUUUUUUGGUUCUCUUUGGAUAAUUAUUGGGCAUUCGCUAUAUACAGUCAGGAAUCUUAAUGUACAGUCAUCACAUAAUGAUGCACUUUAGGUAGUUAUGACAUCUCGAUACCAACACAUGUGUUAACAGAAUUAAACUUGAAACAUGGUGAAGAACGUUAACACUUUCAACUAGACAAAGCGGACCUACUUUCAUGUAGAAGGAAGUGUGGCAAAUGUGUGAUAGCUUUUGGUCUGUAGCUUCUCAGUAAGAUUGAUGGGAUGAAUUAUCAUAACCUUUUUCCGCUUAAUCUAUUAUGGAUGUCGCAGACGGCAUUUCAGGCAUGAUGAAUACAACGCAUGUUCUUUUCUUGAAAAGAAUACAUGUUCUAUUCUGUCAUUAUUUGUAAAUUAGUCAACGAAUAUUAAUGCUUCAGAUCAGAGGAUUUUCUUGCCAAUCCAAUAGUUAACCUUAGUUAAAUAGCUAAUCUAUUUUUAUAUGUGAGUUGUUGGGUGGUAUAUCGAAGAACAAAUCAUUGAUAUUCAAUCUGAACAAACCUCUCUUUGCAAAGAUUUCCGUAUCAUCUAUUUGGACUUUUGGGACAACUGGUGUCUUAUUUUUACAGGGUUGCCUAGUUCUCAAGGAAUGAGGAGGCUGUUAUGUUUUAAUUCUUGUUGUUUUUGUUCCUCCAAGUUAUUGUGCAAUUCUCAUACCAAUCAGCCAUGGCCUUAACUUCUACUUGCUUUUGUCUUUCCCAAUUCUCACUCAAGGUAUGCUCUUCUGCUACUCUAUAUUUAUUAGUUUGUAAUAUAUGUUGUGUCUUGAAAAAUUCUUCAUUUGUGCAGGUAAUUAAAUUGGUGUUUAUUGUUCUCAAUUUUUAAAUUGAAUUUCCAUACUGAAACAUACUGUUUACUAGUAAUACUUUUUGGUUAGAUCUGAAUUGUCACAUUUGAGAGCAGUUAAAACGCUAGUGAAGAUUUCAAGUAGAUAGUGAAGGGGCAAAUUUAUAGUCUAAAAUAUGGGGCGCGUGAACCCGUGGUCUCUCCAUAAAACAAGGUAUUUUAUGUACAUAUAUUUUCUAAAAUAAUAGUAUAAUAUUAUUAUCCAUUGGCCCCCAUAUUACAAGAAGGUUAAAUGUUGAGUUAUUUAUGUAGAGGGCUAGGGAUCAAUUCUCAUUUAAUAUACUUUUCCUUCUUUCUUUUUUUUUUUUUUUUUUACUGGUGCACCCAUGUUCUAGAAAUUCUAGAUUCGCUUAGUACAGAACAAUUAAGCAAUUAGAAGAGAUUAGAUGAACUUUUUCUAUCAUUUGAAGAUGUUUUUGGCUUUAGGAAUUAGGGGGUGUUUGGGAAGGAAAGCUUUGAAGAAUGAGGUGUUAGUCUUUGGAGGCUUAGCAAAUUGAAUGUCAAUCUGGGACCAUUGAAUUAUGCUAUUAGCAACAUAUCUUCAAUAAAAUUAAUCUAUACUUGGUAAUUUGAAAAAAAGAAAUGAGGUUUUCCUACUCAUUUAACACUCUAAUGAAAUGCCACCCUACUAAACUAUUAUGGUAUUAGAAGUAAUCAAUCUUUACUACUUACUGUAGAUGACCAGCUGGACACCUGCUCUGUCAUCACAUAUCCUAUGUUGUUAUGUCAGGAGGAACCAGACUCCAUCCCCCACGCUUGAAAUAAUAGACCCUGACCUUUUAAGUUAUCGAGUUCGGAAACGAGGAAUCAAGCAUGGAAAUGAAUGGAGUUUCCUCGGAGGAUCAACAGUAAUGCGUCAGCCUAACCUCCAAAAUAUUUCACAAGGAAGAAGCUGCAGGGUGUCUGCUAUGUGUAAUCUUUUCUUCCCACUGCUUUGUUAGUAUUUAUCAUUUAUCCUUGGUACUCAAUUCAUGUUUUGCUACCUUUUUUUGGUUCUCUUUGGAUAAUUAUUGGGCAUUCGCUAUAUACAGUCAGGAAUCUUAAUGUACA